rnacentral:rRNA from 1 species
UGGGGAAUAUUGCACAAUGGAGGGAACUCUGAUGCAGCGACGUCGCGUGAGUGAUGAAGGAAUUCGUUUCGUAAAACUCUGUUCUAUGGGAAGAAAAGGACUGUACCAUAGGAGAAAGCUCCGGCUAAAUACGUGCCAGCAGCCGCGGUAAUACGUAUGGAGCGAGCGUUGUCCGGAAUUAUUGUGCGUAAAGGGUGCGCAGGCGGCUUUACAAGUUGGAUGUGAGAUAUUGUGGCUCAACCACAAACGUGCAUCCAAAACUGCAAAGCUUGAGUUAAGGAGAGGUAAGUGGAAUUCCUGGUGUGGCGGUGGAAUGCGUAGAUAUCAGAAGGAAUACCGGUGGCGAAGGCGACUAACAGGACCUAAACUGACGCUCAGGCACGAAAGCGUGGGGAGCAAACAGG